rnacentral:rRNA from 1 species
UACGAAGGGGGCUAGCGUUGUUCGGAUUUACUGGGCGUAAAGCGCACGUAGGCGGAUCGUUAAGUCGGGGGUGAAAUCCUGGAGCUCAACUCCAGAACUGCCUUCGAUACUGGCGAUCUUGAGUCCGGAAGAGGUGAGUGGAACUCCUAGUGUAGAGAUGGAAUUCGUAGAUAUUAGGAAGAACACCAGUGGCGAAGGCGGCUCACUGGUCCGGUACUGACGCUGAGGUGCGAAAGCGUGGGGAGCAAACAGG